rnacentral:rRNA from 1 species
CCUACGGGUGGCAGCAGUGGGGGAUAUUGCACAAUGGGGGAAACCCUGAUGCAGCGACGCCGCGUGUGGGAAGACGGUCCUCUGGAUUGUAAACCACUGUCCCCAGGGACGAGGAUGACGGUACCGGGGGAGGAAGCUCCGGCUAACUACGUGCCAGCAGCCGCGGUAAUACGUAGGGAGCGAGCGUUGUCCGGAAUUACGGGGUGUAAAGGGAGCGGAGGCGGGGAUGCAAGUUGGGUGUCAAAACUACCGGCUCAACUGGUAGUCGAACUCAAAACUGCAGCUCUUGAGUGAAGUAGAGGCAGGCGGAAUUCCUAGUGUAGCGGUGAAAUGCGGAGAUAUUAGGAGGAACACCAGUGGCGAAGGCGGCCUGCUGGGCUUUUACUGACGCUGAGGCUCGAAAGUGUGGGGAGCAAACAGGAUUAGAUACCCUGGUAGUC